CCUACGGGUGGCAGCAGUCGGGAAUAUUGCUCAAUGGAGGAAACUCUGAAGCAGUCACGCCGCGUAUAGGAAGAAGUUUUUCGGAAUGGAAAAUAUCGUCUAUAGGGGAGAAAAAGGACAGAACCGAAGGAGGAAGCUCGGGCUAACUACGUGACAGCAGCCUAGGUAAUACGUAGGGUGCGAGCGUUAUCCGGAAUUCUUGGGUGUAAAGGGUGCGUAGACGGGAAAACAAGUUGGUUGUGAAAUCCCGCGGCUUAACUGAGGAACUGCAACUAAAACUAUCGUUCUUGAGUGCAGGAGAGGUACGUGGAAUUCCUAGUGUAGCGGUGAAAUGCGUAGAUAUUAGGAGGAACCCCAGUGGCGAAGGCGGCUUACUGGACUGUAACUGACGUUGAGGCACGAAAGUGUGGGGAGCAAACAGGAUUAGAUACCCGUGUAGUC
rnacentral:rRNA from 1 species